rnacentral:rRNA from 1 species
CUCCUACGGAGGGCAGCAGUGGGGAAUAUUGGACAAUGGGGGCAACCCUGAUCCAGCGAUGCCGCGUGAGUGAAGAAGGCCUUCGGGUUGUAAAACUCUUUCACCUGUGAAGAUAAUGACGGUAGCAGGAGGAGAAGCACCGGCAAACUCUGUGCCAGCAGCCGCGGUAAUAC